CGUGGAGCGAUUUGUCUGGUUUAUUCCGAUAACGAGCGAGACUCUAGCCUACUAAAUAGUCCACACAUUGCUUCUGUGCUGUGGUACUUCUUAGAGGGAUUUUCGGUGUACAGCCGCACGAAAUUGAGCAAUAACAGGUCUGUGAUGCCCUUAGAUGUCCGGGGCUGCACGCGCGCUACACUGGCGAAAUCAGCGUGCUUGUCCUUUCCCGAAAGGGAUUGGUAAACCAAUGAAAAUUUGCCGUGAUUGGGAUUGGAAAUUGCAAUUAUUUUCCGUGAACGAGGAAUUCCAAGUAAAUGCGAGUCAUCAACUCGCGUUGAAUACGUCCCUGCCCUUUGUAC
rnacentral:rRNA from 1 species